rnacentral:tRNA from 1 species
GGGCGGGUGGCGAAAUUGGUAGACGCGCUAGCCUUAGGAGCUAGUGGAGCAAUCCAUGGAGGUUCAAGUCCUCUCCCGCCCA